UCAGGUGGCCGCAGAGAAUAGGCCCAAGCGACUGUUUACCAAAAACAUAGGUUUCUGCUAAGUCGCAAGACGAUGUAUAGGAGCUGACGCCUGCCCGGUGCUGGAAGGUUAAGGGGAUCUGUUAGAGUAAUCGAAGCAGUGAACUUAAGCCCCAGUAAACGGCGGCCGUAACUAUACCGGUCCUAAGGUAGCGAAAUUCCUUGUCGGGUAAGUUCCGACCCGAACGAAAGGCGUAACGAUUUGGGCACUGUCUCAACAACAGACUCGGUGAAAUUGUAAUUCCGGUGAAGAUGCCGGAUACCUGCGACAGGACGGAAAGACCCCAUGGAGCUUUACUGUAGCUUGACAUUGGGUCUUGGUACUACAUGUACAGGAUAGGU
rnacentral:rRNA from 1 species